rnacentral:rRNA from 1 species
CCUACGGGUGGCUGCAGUGAGGAAUAUUGCACAAUGGGGGAAACCCUGAUGCAGCGACGCCGCGUGAGUGAAGAAGUAAUUCGUUACGUAAAGCUCUAUCAGCAGGGAAGAAACACUGACCUUACGGUCAGCAGACGGUACCUGAGUAAGAAGCGCCGGCUAACUACGUGCCAGCAGCCGCGGUAAUACGGAGGGUCCGGGCGUUAUCCGGAUUUAUUGGGUUUAAAGGGAGCGUAGGCGGGCUUUUAAGUCAGCUGUGAAAGUCCGGGGCUCAACCCUGGAAUUGCAGUUGAAACUGGAGGCCUUGAGUGCAGACAGGGAUGCCGGAAUUCAUGGUGUAGCGGUGAAAUGCUUAGAUAUCAUGAAGAACUCCGAUCGCGAAGGCGAGUUUCCGGGGUGCAACUGACGCUGAGGCUCGAAAGUGCGGGUAUCAAACAGGAUUAGAUACCCGAGUAGUC